GACGAACGCUGGCGGCGUGCCUAACACAUGCAAGUCGAGCGAACGGACGAGAUGCUUGCUUCUCUGAUGUUAGCGGCGGACGGGUGAUUCACACGUGGUUAACCUACCUCUCCGACUGGGAUAAUAUUGGGAAAUCGGAGCUACUACCGGAUAAUAUUUUGAACCGCAUGGUUCAAAAGUGAAAGAAGGUCUUUCUGUCACUUAUAGAUGGACACGCACUGCAUUAGCUAGUUGGUAAGGUAGCGGCUUACCAAGGCUACGAGGCAUAGCCGACCUGAGAGGGAGGUCGACCACACGGGCAGUGAGGCGCGGUCCACACUCCUACGGGGGGCAGCAGUAGGGAAUCUUCCGCAAGGAGCGAGUGCCUAACGGUGCAACGCCGCGGGAGGGAUGAUGGUCUUCUGAUCGUUGAGCGCUGUUAUUAGGAGAGAAGAUAUGUGUAAGUAACUGUGCACAUCUUGACGGUACCGGGUCAAAAAGCCACGGCUAACUACGUG
rnacentral:rRNA from 1 species